GAAGAAUCUAGAAAGACAAGUGAUAAGGCAGAGAACUAAACAGAGGGAAGAGAAGAACCUAAAGGGAAGACGUGAAACGAGGAGAGUGGUGGAGUGUAAAUCGCAUAGAUUCUCUCAUGGCUGCCAAUGUAAUGAAGAAAGAAGAUUGUUUGGGAAGGCUUAGAAAGUGGAUCUACAAAGCUUAAGUUCGGUUCGCGAAAGAAAUUUAGAUUGAAGGUUUGGGAGAGAUUGUCUACAUUAAAUUGUACUUGUACAAGGAAACUUGGACGGUCAAAGCUAAAGUUGGAUUUCAUGUGCUGCUUGGUUCGGGAAAUUGGACUUGAAGUGUAAGUCGUGCAGUCAAGAACUAGAUUUUCAAGGGCGGUGGGCAUUGUCUCAGGAUUUGGCUAGUAGCAUAUUUCCGAUAAAGUAAUUUCGGCAGGUCCAGGACCACCUUCAGCUAAUUAGAGUUCUAUCCGAUUCUGGAGAGCCCGUCACCUGUUGUGCGGGUAGUCACUAUGACAUUUUGUAUUUUACUAUUUUGUAUAAAUUUAUGAAUCUUAGAUGCUCCGUUAAGUACAGAUAGGAUGUUUUGGGUAUGUAUUGCUGUAAGCCUUGACUGUACUCUGGCUAUGGCUUCCGCGUUAUGUAAAUUUUAGUUUCGUACUCCUUA